rnacentral:rRNA from 1 species
AGAGUUUGAUCCUGGCUCAGAAUAAAUGCUAUCGGUAUGCUUAACACAUGCAAGUUGAAUGUUUUUAAAACAUGGCGAACGGGUGAGUAACACGUGAAUUAUCUACCUUUUAAUUCGGAAUAAUUAUUUAUAUAAAAAUUCGGAAUAAAUAUAUUAAAGUUUUUUAACGUUAAAAGAUGAGUUUGCGCAAGAUUAUGGUAGUUGGUAGUUUAAAAGACUACCAAGCCUAUUAUCUUUAGCUGGUUUGAAAGAAUGAUCAGCCACAUUGGGACUGAGACACGGCCCAAACUUUUUUAAAGGCAGCAGUGGGGAAUUUUGGACAAUGAGCGAAAGCUUGAUCCAGCAAUACCGAGUGAGUGAUGACGGCUAAUUAGGUUGUAAAGCUCUUUCAUUAAGGAGGAAAAUGACAGUACUUAAAAAAGAAGUUCCGGCUAAUACCCGUGCCAGCAGCCGCGGUAAUACGGGAGGAGCGAGCAUUAUUCGGAAUGAUUAGGCGUAAAGGGUUUGUAGGUGGUUUUUUAAGUUNAAAGAAACAAAUUAAAGCUCAACUUUAUACAUUUUUUCAAAACUAAUAAACUGGAGUAUAAAUAGAGGAUAAUGGAAUUUCUAUUGGAGUGAUAAAAUACGUUGAUAAUAGAAGGAAGAUCUAUGGCGAAGGCAAUUAUCUGGGUAUAUACUGACACUGAGAAACGAAAGCUUGGGUAGCGAACGGGAUUAGAUACCCCGGUAGUCCAUGNUGUAAACGAUGAGUGCUAAUAUUUAGAAUUUUUAGAUAUAACAGCUAACGCGUUAAGCACUCCGCCUGAAAAGUAUAAUCGCNAGAUUGAAAUUCAAAGGAAUUGACGGGAGUCUACACAAGCGGUGGAGCAUGUGGUUUAAUUCGAUAAUACGCGCAGAACCUUACCAACUCUUGCUAAUUUUUAUAUAAAAUAUUAUAUAAAAAACAGGCGUUGCAUGGCUGUCGUCAGCUCGUGUUGUGAAAUGUUUGGUUAAAUCCUUUAACGAGCGCAACCCCUAUUGUUAGUUGCUAAUUUAUUUAAUAAAAUGAGAAGAGUUUACGUCGUAAACAAUAGGGGUUGCGCUCGUUAAAG